UGGUGGAGCGACUUGUCUGGUUAAUUCCGAUAACGAACGAGACUCUGGCCUAUUAAAUAGUUCGCCGAUUCCGAUCUGUCGGCGUUAACUUCUUAGAGGGACAAGUGGCUUUUAGCCACGCGAGAUUGAGCAAUAACA
rnacentral:rRNA from 1 species